rnacentral:snoRNA from 1 species
UAAGGCCUAUGAUGAUUCAAAUUUUUUGCCUACAUUGUCUGAUAAACUAAUGAUAUAACUUUUUACAAAAUGUAAUUUCUGAGGCCUUU